AGGGCGCUUGCCUGGAGGGCACCGGGAGGAGGACGCGACAGCUGCCAGCACCAAUCCCGAAAGCAGCGCGGGGCUCACCAGGGCACCAGUGGGCAGGGGUUGCUCCCGUGGGGCACCCCACGCAGGGCCCUGUCCCCUGGGUGAGUCCAAAUACAGGACUGGGGAGCAGUAGAGCAUUAUUGAGUUUACAGAUGGUAAACUCACAGAUGGAAGCUUAAUCUUUAGGUUUCUGGAUUAAGGUUUUACUCUGAUUGAAGGACAAAUUCCCAGUCACCGCCCAUCGCAAAUGCAGCCAAAUCUCUUCAUCAUUAAGCCCGUUAGCCGAAAAGAAGCAGAUAUUCUUUCAGCUUCAGCUUUCUCAUAUGUAUAAAAAUAUUCAUUAUAUUUAGCAACCCUCAGUCUCACUGCCAAUCUCCUUGGAAGCCAAGCUGAAGGUAAGGAAUGAGGCAGGGGUGUAGCAUGGAAGGGGUCUAAAAGGAUGGCUGGAUAGUCAUAAAAUGAUAGAAUUGUAGGGUUGGAAGGGACCAUCUAGUCAAACCCACUGCAAGGCAGGAAUCUUUUACUCAACGUGGGGUUCAAACCCCCAGCCCUGAAAUUAAGACUCUCAUGCUCUACUGUGCUACCCCAGGUUCAUUUACAAGCUACUUCCUUAGGAUAUUUACAUUCCAGAAUAAAAUUCUGGUUAUUUUAGAUUUAAAUUAAAGCUGAAUUCAACCUUGACAGUUUCUGUAUAGAUAUGUCAUUGGAGUAUGAUUUGAGACAUACAUAAAAUUACAUGUAUGUUCCCCUUUAAAAGCAGGAGAGUGUGAAGAAUUCUGUAUUGCAAUAUACAAUCGCCAUAUUUGCUGGCAGUUAGACCUUCCCUAUAUAUUUCAGGAAAGCUGGAACCACAGAAGGUUGAUUGGCAUGAGCAUGGUCUAGUAAACGGGGGGAAUUUACAAUAUAGACUUUAUACUAUUUGCUUCAUUUGCAAACACGUAAGCAGAAUGACUGGAGGCAAACAGGCACUCCUCUAAGCAAAUAUAACCACUGUGUGUCAGAUUCUGAGAGAGGAACGUCUACAGUAGCUUCAAAGCGACAUCCCAGUUUAGCUAACUGCAGUCCAGCUCAACUCUCAAUGCUCUCUUUCUCAUCUGUUGCCGAUAGCGUUCCUGACUUGCUGGGGAUUGAAAUAACUACCUCCCAGGUUGACCCCAAUUCCUCUCUCUGCCUAGCUAUCAGUCUCUUAACGUCUCUGCCGCUAAGAGGAAGGAGCAGGUUUAGGCAAAAAGGCUUUGUCCUGACCGUCACCUUUACACCUGCACUGGGGAUGGGCCGGUUGCACCAGGCUGAGUUGGCACUUCUACAGGACUCCAGGUAAAGGGCAUUCCCUUUCAAUGCCGGUGAACACACUUCCUUUCUAAUGCUCAGCAAUGAAUUUUUCUGUUGCAAGCAAUCAUCUGAGGCAACACGAUGACCAGGAUUUUGUUGACUUCACCCAGGGAUCUGUCGUAACAAGAAAAGGAGAUGGCCUUACCAUGAUCUCCAUCAUUGUUGCUGUUUUUGUCCUCUUGGCGAUUAUAAUCAUUGUGACUGUACAUUAUGGUCCAAAACUACGUACUAUCCAGAUCACUCUGUACCAUGAGCCCAUGCCACAAGACAUGGAUAAUGGAGUCCAAUUAAAAGACUGGAAGAAACUUGGUUCCCACAGAAAAAGCAGCAUGCAAUCUGCUCUGACAUUGGAGAACAGCAAUGCUUCUGGUCUGAACACUCAGUGUGCAAGUGGAGAGCCAAAUGUUAUAGAGAUUACUUACUUGUGAAAAGGCCUCUGGUGUUUCCUGGCAGCCCCCAGGGAGUUUCGCCUGACAUGGCAAAGCCCUGGUUGGUUUCUGGUGUACAGAGAUAGGCAGUUGGCAUGUUCCCUCCGGGCCUACUGGUUUAAGCCCAUUGGCUCCCUUGUUUAUUGGGGAAUUUAGGUGAUGAAACAAGAGGGACAACAGCUAAGGUGCAGAGAAGCUCAGGGUGAGCACUGGGGCCUCUUUGUGGCAGUGAUAGCAAUGAAGAAAAAUUACUUAUCUGCUAUCAUUGUGUCCAUGGAGUGUCAUCCAGUGACUAGAGACCUUUUCCAUUUGCAUCCCCAAGAUGGAUUUCCAGAGCCAUUGGUGGCCUACUGUAACUCAUUUGGGAAACAUUUCACAGAUAAUACCACUCAGACCCCUACUAACUUGGAUGACAACAUUAUGGGCAGUACAGAUGAAAGUAUGCUGUGGAAAGUGUGGCGCAGGCCCCGUAUAUUCAAUUUUUGCCCAUCAUGUUUAAUAACAUCUACAUGAUUUGGAAUGAUUAGCAGAAUUCAUUAUACUUGAGAGAAGCAUGACCCUAGCAUCUUCGAAGGUGGCAGCUGUGGGGCCCCUCUUCAAAAAGCCCUCCUGGGACUUAGGUGAUUUUUCUAAGUUUCCGUUGAACCCUAGGCCCACCCACCCCUUCUUGGGCAAGUGCUCAAGCAGCUGGUAGCUGCCCAAUUCCAGGAAUUCUUGGAAGGAAGGGGUUAUCUGGGCCCUUUCUAUUCCAGAUGAAACAGUGGACAUUCUGAACAGGUGCUGGGAUGGGAGUUUGUAUUAGUUUGAUAGUAGAAAAUAAAGUGAAGCUGAAUCUGGACUACCUUGAGAUUCUAUACCCUAUGAGAGAUCUAUUAAUUAGGCUUAGGCAUUCUUAUGUUGAUACCUAACUCUCCAUAGGAUGUGACACUUAAACCAGCCUUCCUCAACUGUUCCCUUCUGCUUGUGUGUCACCUGCAUCCCUUCCUAAGCCACUUUUUGCCAUGUUUUGAUGCAAUUCAAGUCAGCAGUGGGUAACCUAAGCAUGUGACCUAAUUAGGCCUCCAAGGUCUCCCCAUCUGGCCUGUAAGGUAAAUUUUUUUUGGGGGGCGCUUACCUGUGCAUCACCUGACAUCAUAAGAUAGCAGGUGCUGGAGUGGUGAAGCCAUAGUACCAGACUCCAGUGCACUCCACGAAUGCCCCCAAUCCUUCCUUUCCAGCCAUUGCUUAUUUUGGUACAUUUUUCUGUCACCUGAGUGCUGACAAAGAGGAGUACCAAAUUUUUAAAGUGCCAAAUUCAAGCUACGAAAGACAAAUCAGGGUCACACACUCUGGAUUUUUCCUUUGCAGCUGCAAUUUGAAGCUGUGGCUGCAAAGGAAGAAAGACUCAGGUGUGCACUUCCACACCUGCAGUCCAAGUAAUAGUAUUUCAUUGCAUUAUAUACCAGGUUGGGGAAGGAGGAGACAGAUUGUGUCACUAAGGAUAUUAGAGAGACGCCUGAGGUGAUGUCAGUUGACAACUGCAUAUAGACUUUCUUUUGUACAGCCGGCAGGGUCAAAAUGAAAAUACAUGUUCAUGUAAUAUAUGGCUUGUUCCAUUUGUAAUACCUGCUGCGGUACUUUGGAGUUCCAUAUAUCUAUCUGUAAUCAACACACAAUUUCCACACCCAGUAAACUGAUUCCCCUCUUGGUGAUUGUUGUCAUAGAUAUAGAUGAAUAUAAUAUAUUGACUUACAAUGUCCAUAGUAUUUCUUACCAGAGGUAUCUGGAGACAUUCUUUUCACUAGUUUCCAACCAAAAACAGCCUUGCAGUUAUUGGUAAAUUAUUCACAAAUAUAUAGUCUAUUUCUUAAGCAUUGAGAAGUUAGAUAACUGUCAAAUUGCCAGUGUUUCUAUGUUGUCCUGUGUUUUUCAGACUGGAUUUGUGGUAAAAAUUUUGCAAGUU